rnacentral:lncRNA from 1 species
GGGUUCAUGAGCUCCAUUUUGCAGAUGAAGAAACAGCCCAGAGAGGGCAAAGGCUGGACUCACAGGGUAAGAAGUUCUCAGAGCUGUGUUGUGCAGCCCCAACUUCUCACUCAAUGCCUCGCAAUCCCCUGUUCUCCAGGGAAAGAGAGUCAAACGUCUAAGAUUUUCCUAACACACAGUCCUGGAGGCGUUGUCAUUUCCGUCUGGGUCCAGUUUCCUCAUCUAUUAGGUAACACGCAAGCACAAAGCGUCCUUCUAGCAUAGCGUCCGUACGUAAGCAACAGCCUGGAUCACUGUCUUGGGCCUUGCUCCUACCUCACAGCGCACAGCACAUGCGCUCACGGCCUGUAAGAGCUCACUGCCCGCUAGGGAGACCGAGGCCUGCGGAGAGGCUGGCAACACAGCCACAUCCUGUAUGCGAUGAAGAAGGCUCUAAGGAUGGAGGACAUGGGACAGAAUGGCCCAUUUGCUUGGGCUUGGAGGACAAAAAAGAUGUCAGCCUAUGAAGAUGAAGAGGCAAGGGAUUUUAGACAGGGGAAUAGCAUGCUCCAGGCCGGAAGUGGGCUAUGCAGGGCUUGUUGCAGCUCCUCACAUGGCCGGCUGGGGGCGCUUUUCAAUUCAGGCCUUUCUCUGCUUGCCAAUAGACCUAAGG